rnacentral:rRNA from 1 species
CGAACGCUGGCGGCGUGCCUAACACAUGCAAGUCGAACGGACUUUAUGACUUCGGUUAUAAAGUUAGUGGCGCACGGGUGAGUAACGCGUGGAUAUCUGCCUAUCAGUGGGGGACAACUACGGGAAACCGUAGCUAAUACCGCAUACGAUCUAAGGAUGAAAGCAGGGGACCUUCGGGCCUUGCGCUGAUAGAUGAGUCCGCGUCAGAUUAGCUAGUUGGUAAGGUAAUGGCUUACCAAGGCGAUGAUCUGUAACUGGUUUGAGAGGAUGAUCAGUCACACUGGAACUGAGACACGGUCCAGACUCCUACGGGAGGCAGCAGUGGGGAAUAUUGCACAAUGGGCGAAAGCCUGAUGCAGCGACGCCGCGUGCGGGAAGAAGGCCUUCGGGUUGUAAACCGCUUUCAAUUGGGAAGAAGAGAUGAGUACUAAUAAUGCUCUGAUUUGACGGUACCUUUAGAAGAAGCACCGGCUAAUUUC